GCUUGUAUAGGUUAAUUAAACUUUAAAGCUGUUAACUUUAUAAUGCUAUUAUUGGCUACAGGCG
rnacentral:tRNA from 1 species